rnacentral:rRNA from 1 species
GCGACCCCAGGUCAGGUGGGAUCACCCGCUGAGUUUAAGCAUAUCAAUAAGCGGAGGAAAAGAAACUAACAAGGAUUC